UACGUAGGGACCGAGCGUUGUCCGGAAUCAUUGGGCGUAAAGAGCGUGUAGGCGGCCCCUUAAGUCCUGCGUGAAAUCCUGCGGCUCAACCGCAGACGGUCGUGGGAAACUGGAGGGCUAGAGUGCGGGAGAGGAGAGUGGAAUUCCCGGUGUAGCGGUGAAAUGCGCAGAUAUCGGGAAGAACACCCGUGGCGAAGGCGGCUCUCUGGAACGCAACUGACGCUGAGACGCGAAAGCGUGGGGAGCGAACAGG
rnacentral:rRNA from 1 species